CACGUAGGCGGACUGUUAAGUCAGGGGUGAAAUCCCGGGGCUCAACCCCGGAACUGCCCUUGAUACUGGCAGUCUUGAGUUCGAGAGAGGUGAGUGGAAUUCCGAGUGUAGAGGUGAAAUUCGUAGAUAUUCGGAGGAACACCAGUGGCGAAGGCGGCUCACUGGCUCGAUACUGACGCUGAGGUGCGAAAGUGUGGGGAGCAAACA
rnacentral:rRNA from 1 species